UCGGCCCAUAAAGCAGGGACAGCGGCCCAUUGGUUCAUUUUCCAUAUUGACACUGGGCUGGCCCAAUCACAUCUCUUAACAGACUCCACCCCGUCCCCUCUGUUUCGUGUGUCAGGUCAGAUCAGAUGCAGUGGCUCAGAGCCAAAACAUCUGUGGAUUAGGAGUAUGGAGAAACAAAAGCGCAAGUGCAAGGGGGUGCGGAGAAGUUGCGGGCAAAUUUUUUUUUUUAAAAAUGUAGAGGUCGAUGCCUCAAACGUGCAAAAAUUACUGACAUGUUUAGUGCGGUUACUGUAGCUUCAGUUUCCAAACCUACAGUACCUGACGACGUGCAAAAACAGGUGAACAUAGAAGAACAUGGAGACACCUGUCAGGCAGAGGAGCAGCAGGUGUCUGACAGUGAAGUCAGUGAGGGACAGAGUAAGCAGGAGAGUAUAAUAGAAGCGGAUGCCCUCAUUAUUGUGGUUCAUUGUUCAUAGUUUUUGAGGGUGUUCAGAGGGCCAUGCAAGCCCUACUCCACUGCCACCUUUGAUCACCAGAGAGUCAGUCAAGAGAGAGUGAGUACACUGGUCCACUUGCACUUACUACUCAGCUUUGUAGGGGCUUUCGGGAAUGAAACAGUAGGUAUGCAUAUUUACAGGGACCGCAAGGAAGGUGUACUCGUGGGUGGUGUCCAACCGAUUGUGGUGGGCCGGUCUGAGCAAAAAUGCCAGGGCCAUUUUUUUGUCCCAGUCCAGCCCUGGUUAUGACCAUAUCAGUUAAAUUCAGUAUUAUCAAAACAACCUAAUAUGCUACUGAAAAUAUUCGUUGAUUUAAAAAGGUAAUAUUUUAUUAAACCCAAAUGUAAUAUUAACAUAUUUUCAUGACAAGUACUGGGUGUUAAUCAAGUAAAUUAUCAGUAUAAAUUGACCGAAAUGCAUGUUGUUCAUUAGUAUUACCACUACUUUCUAAUGCAAUUACACUAUA